rnacentral:rRNA from 1 species
CGUACACGGUGGAUGCCCUGGCAGUCAGAGGCGAUGAAGGGCGUGCUAAUCUGCGAUAAGCGCCGGUAAGGUGAUAUGAACCGUUAUAACCGGCGAUACCCGAAUGGGGAAACCCAGUGUGACUCGUCACACUAUCAUUAACUGAAUCCAUAGGUUAAUGAGGCGAACCGGGGGAACUGAAACAUCUAAGUACCCCGAGGAAAAGAAAUCAACCGAGAUUCCCCCAGUAGCGGCGAGCGAACGGGGAGGAGCCCAGAGCCUGAAUCAGCAUGUGUGUUAGUGGAAGCGUCUGGAAAGGCGCGCGAUACAGGGUGACAGCCCCGUACACAAAAGCGCAUGUGCUGUGAGCUCGAUGAGUAGGGCGGGACACGUGGUAUCCUGUCUGAAUAUGGGGGGACCAUCCUCCAAGGCUAAAUACUCCUGACUGACCGAUAGUGAACCAGUACCGUGAGGGAAAGGCGAAAAGAACCCCGGCGAGGGGAGUGAAAAAGAACCUGAAACCGUGUACGUACAAGCAGUGGGAGCCCCACCACCAAAGCAUUUGCUGUACCGCGUUGACGGAGCGAAGCGACGUCAAACCGAUAAAACAGCAGUGUAAAGUGAGCCGCAGGGCGCUUUGCGCGACAGCGCAAAGGCAGGCGGUUUCGCGUAGCGAAAGCGAAUGCUUUGGGGUGGGGUGACUGCGUACCUUUUGUAUAAUGGGUCAGCGACUUAUAUUCUGUAGCAAGGUUAACCGAAUAGGGGAGCCGGAGGGAAACCGAGUCUUAAUUGGGCGUUAAGUUGCAGGGUAUAGACCCGAAACCCGGUGAUCUAGCCAUGGGCAGGUUGAAGGUUGGGUAACACUAACUGGAGGACCGAACCGACUAAUGUUGAAAAAUUAGCGGAUGACCUGUGGCUGGGGGUGAAAGGCCAAUCAAACCGGGAGAUAGCUGGUUCUCCCCGAAAGCUAUUUAGGUAGCGCCUCGUGAAUUCAUCUCCGGGGGUAGAGCACUGUUUCGGCUAGGGGGCCAUCCCGGCUUACCAACCCGAUGCAAACUGCGAAUACCGGAGAAUGUUAUCACGGGAGACACACGGCGGGUGCUAACGUCCGUCGUGAAGAGGGAAACAACCCA